rnacentral:rRNA from 1 species
GUACACGCUGUGACUAGCAUAUCAAUAAGCGGAGGAAAAGAAACUAACAAGGAUUCCCUCAGUAACGGCGAGUGAAGUGGGAAGAGCUCAAAUUUGAAAUCUUGAAAGGUCACCUUUCACGAAUUGUAGUUUAAAGAAGUGUUUUCUGUUACGAUCGUAAUAUAAGUUCUUUGGAAUAGGACAUCACAGAGGGUGAGAAUCCCGUCUAUGAUUGCGAUUUGUAGCUUUGUGAUACACUUUCAAAGAGUCGGGUUGUUUGGGAAUGCAGCCCAAAACGGGAGGUAAAUUUCUUCUAAGGCUAAAUAUUGGCGAGAGACCGAUAGCGAACAAGUACCGUGAGGGAAGGAUGAAAAGAACUUUGAAAAGAGAGUUAAAUAGUACGUGAAAUUGUCAAAAGGGAAGCGUUUAACACCAGUGUUGUUUUCUGAAAAUCAACCUCUGUUAGCUUUAUGCAUGUUUGUUUAGACCUAAUCAGCUAUCUUGCAUGUUCUAUUGUUUGCAGUGGUGCACUUUUCAGUUUACAGGUCAACAUCAGUUUUUUUUACCGUAAAAAAGUUAAAGAAAGGUAGCUCAUGGCUCCGGUCGUGAGUGUUAUAGUCUUUUUCCUAUGCGGUAGGAGAGACUGAGGUCUGCAGUGUAGGCUAUUUGGCUAGAUACUCAGGUGCUAUGUGAUACCAUUUCAUAAACAACUUGUUGAUUAUGUUUUGUCUAUUGCAUACUCGCUUGUACUAUCAUACCUACGCUUAGGAUGUUGACGCAUGAGAUAUACGC